GCCGCAGUGGCGAAAUGGUAUACGCGCAAGACUUAAAAUCUUGUGAUCGUCAAACCGAUCGUGAGAGUUCGAGUCUCUCCUGCGGCACCA
rnacentral:tRNA from 1 species